rnacentral:rRNA from 1 species
UACGAAGGGGGCUAGCGUUGUUCGGAAUUACUGGGCGUAAAGCGCACGUAGGCGGACUUUUAAGUCAGGGGUGAAAUCCCGGGGCUCAACCCCGGAACUGCCUUUGAUACUGGGAGUCUAGAGUAUGGUAGAGGUGAGUGGAAUACCGAGUGUAGAGGUGGAAUUCGUAGAUAUUCGGUAGAACACCAGUGGCGAAGGCGGCUCACUGGACCAUUACUGACGCUGAGGUGCGAAAGCGUGGGGAGCAAACAGG